rnacentral:rRNA from 1 species
UUCCUACGGGAGGCAGCAGUGGGGAAUUUUGGACAAUGGGCGCAAGCCUGAUCCAGCCAUGCCGCGUGUCUGAAGAAGGCCUUCGGGUUGUAAAGGACUUUUGUUAGGGAAGAAAGGGAGUGUGUUAAUACCAUACUCUGCUGACGGUACCUAAAGAAUAAGCACCGGCUAACUACGUGCCAGCAGCCGCGGUAAUGGAA